GCCCCCGUAGCUCAGUUGAAUAGAGCGAUCCCCUCCUAAGGGAUAGGUCCCAGGUUUGAGUCCUGGCGGGGGCACCA
rnacentral:tRNA from 1 species